AGCUCGUGCGGCACGUCCGCGCAGCGGAAGCGGGAAGUGGACGGUAUUGCAGAGUGGCAUGAUGCAGAGCUUCUUGAUGUUGCUGAGGGAGCACGGGAACACCCACCCACCCCCGGCGGAGCUGGUGCCCCUCGCGGGCAGCCUACGCCGUGACAUCCAAGAUGACCCUCACUCAGAUGCAGCCUUUGGUUUCUGCCAUCCUGGACAGCCAGCUGUGCCCGCACCUCCUGGACAAUGCAGAUGUGGCCCUGGUGUGUGCCCGUGUCCUGGCCCAGCAGGAGCAGCAACAGGCGGCCUGCCGGCUUCUGGAGGGUUGUCGGGUGCCAGGAGGCAGCCGUGAGCUGGUGCAGCUCUGGAACGACAUUCACUACGACCUGGCCAGGAGGAAGCUGGGUGUGGCUG